rnacentral:misc_RNA from 1 species
GCCUCUCUCCUCCUCUCCAAGAGACGAAUACAUUUGGGCCCAGUAGGGACCUAUGUUUGCAAAAGCUCGCAGGCGAUUCUCAUGCAGACAGCCUGGCUCUGGCACUGAGUUCUUGGACACUUCUGGAGGCACAUUUACUAGUGAGGAAGAUCACUGUGUGCUGAAGGCAUGACUCAUCUUCCAUUCCUUUCUUCCAUAAAGCAAGGCGCAUGGGUCGACUGAGCUGGGAGAGUCCACGGUGUCAGCCUCCCCCACGCUUCCCUCCCUCCUUAUUCCUUGUGUGCUGUACUUUGUCUUGAUUUCCUGUACUCUGCACCAAGCCAGGAGAUGGGUGUCUCAAGCUCCUGCUCUUAAAACACCUGCAAGAGAAUCAUCCAGGCGGCUUGCUCGCUCUGCAUGCAGACCCUUUAGAAUCAGAAUCAGAAUCCCUGGGGCUGGAGCCACAAAAUGAAAUGACAUUUCAACAAGUUUGUCAUCACGUAAGAGAGAAUAGGAUCUUGCUCUGUCACCCAGGCUGGAGCACAGUGGCACCGUCUUGGCUCACUGUAGCCUUUGCCUCCUGGGCUCAAGCAGUCUUCCCACCUCAGCCUUCCUGAGUAGCUGGAACUACAGAAACUCCUGGAGGGCAGAUGCAUGCCUGCCAUCUUCAUCGUUUCAUUACCACCAUCCAACACUAUCGGGGGACCUGCCCUGAUAAUCAGUCUACAGGUGUAUCCAGCAGCUCCAGAGAGACAGCGACCAGCGAGAAGGGGCCAUGAUGAUGGUGGUGGUUUUGUCAAAACGAAAAGGGGGAUAUGUAGGGAAAAGAAAGAGAGAUCAGACUGUUACUGUGUCUACAUAGAAAGGGAAGCCAUAAGAGACUCCAUUUUGAAAAAGACCUGUACUUUAAACAAUUGCUUGCUGAGAUGUUGUUUAUCUGUAGCUUUGCCCCAGCCACUUUGCCCCAACCACUUUGACCCAAUCUGGAGCUCACAAAAACAUGUUUGUAUGAAAUCAAGGCUUAAGGCAUGUAGGGCUGUGCAGGACGUGCCUUGUUAACCAAAUAUUUGGAAGCAGUAUACUUGGUAAAAGUCAUCACCAUUCUCUCGUCUCAAUAAACCAGGGGCACAAUGCACUGUGGAAAGCCGCAGGGACCUCUGCCCUUGAAAGCUGGGUAUUGUCCAUGGUUUCUUCCCAUGUGAUAGUCUGAAAUAUGGCCUCAUGGGAUGAGAAAGACCUGACGGUCCCCCAGCUCGACACCCAUAAAGUGUCUGUGCUGAGGUGGAUUAGUCAAAGAGGAAAGCCUCUUGCAGUUGAGAUAGAGGAAGGCCGCUGUCUCAUGCUUGCCCCCUGGGAACUGAAUGUCUCGGUAUAAAACACUAUUGUACAUUUGUUCAAUUCUGACAUGGGAGAAAAACCACCCUAUGGUGGGAGGCGAGACAUGUUUGCAGCAAUGCUGCCUUGUUAUUCUUUACUCCACUGAGAUGUCUGGGUGCAGAGAAACAUAAAUCUGGCUUACAUGCACGUCCAGUCAUAGUACCUUCCCUUGAACUUCAUUAUGUCAUAGAUUCUAUUGCUCACAUGUUUGUUGCUGACCUUCUCCUUAUUAUCACCUUGCCCUCCUACUACAUUCAUUUUUGCUGAAAUAAUGAAGAUAAUAAUCAAUAAAAACUGAGGGAACUCAGAGAACGGUGCCAGUGCAGGUCCUUAGCAUGCUAAGCGCCGGUCCCCUGGGCCCACUGUUGUUUCUCUAUA